rnacentral:rRNA from 1 species
UACGAGGGGUGCAAGCGUUGCUCGGAAUUAUUGGGCGUAAAGGGUAGGUAGGUGGUCUCAUUUGUCUGGGGUGAAAUCCUUGAGCUUAACUCAAGAACUGCCCCAGAAACGGUGAGACUAGAGUCCUGGAGAGGGUCGUGGAAUUCCCGGUGUAGCGGUGAAAUGCGUAGAGAUCGGGAGGAACACCAGAGGCGAAGGCGACCCGCUGGGCCGUACCUGACACUGAGGCGCGAUAGCAUGGGGAGCAAACAGG